rnacentral:rRNA from 1 species
GAUGAACGCUAGCUACAGGCUUUAACACAUGCAAGUCGAGGGGCAUCAGGAAGAAAGCUUGCUUUCUUUGCUGGCGACCGGCGCACGGGUGAGCAACACGUAUCCAACCUGCCUCAUACUCGGGGAUAGCCUUUCGAAAGAAAGAUUAAUAUCCGAUAGCAUAUAUUUCCCGCAUGGGUUUUAUAUUAAAGAAAUUCGGUAUGAGAUGGGGAUGCGUUCCAUUAGUUUGUUGGGGGGUAACGGCCCACCAAGACUACGAUGGAUAGGGGUUCUGAGAGGAAGGUCCCCCACAUUGGAACUGAGACACGGUCCAAACUCCUACGGGAGGCAGCAGUGAGGAAUAUUGGUCAAUGGGCGCGAGUCUGAACCAGCCAAGUAGCGU